UGGGGAAUAUUGCACAAUGGGCGCAAGCCUGAUGCAGCAACGCCGCGUGAACGAUGAAGGUCUUCGGAUCGUAAAGUUCUGUUGCAGGGGAAGAUAAUGACGGUACCCUGUGAGGAAGCCCCGGCUACCUACGUGCCAGCAGCCGCGGUAAUACGUAGGGGGCUAGCGUUAUCCGUAUUUACUGGGCGUAAAGGGUGCGUAGGUGGUCUUUCAAGUCGGUGGUUAAAGGCUACGGCUCAACCGUAGUUAGCCUCCGAAACUGGAAGACUUGAGUGCAGGAGAGGAAAGUGGAAUUCCCAGUGUAGCGGUGAAAUGCGUAGAUAUUGGGAGGAACACCAGUAGCGAAGGCGGCUUUCUGGACUGCAACUGACACUGAGGCACGAAAGCGUGGGUAGCAAACAGG
rnacentral:rRNA from 1 species